UAUGAAACUCUGUCCCAGCUGCAUAUGGCCUUUGGAUAUUAUAUAAAACAUGAAGCUGACGUGUAAUGGGGACUCCAUCUACAUAACUGUGAAAAUCUCAUCAUUCAGACUCAGGAUGGUUCUAGUUUCCUCCUUCUGUCUCCACCAUGAACAAGUUGGACUCUUGAAGAUUCUGUCACUUUCCUGGGAUUUCCAGUGUGGGGAAGCAGUGCCUUGAAACAGAUGAACCUACAGACUUCCCAAAGAGAAAGUUCUCCUACCCACUGGAAUACCCUCCUGCCCCAGAGAAAGUUCUCCUACCCACUGGAAUACCCUCCUGCUCCAGAGAAAGUUCUCCUACCCACUGGAAUACCCUCCUGCUCCAGAGUAUCUUGCUUAAUAAAAGUUGUGCAGACACAGGGAGACUGCUGCGCACAUUGCUUUAGCAACAAGUAAUGUGUGAGAGGACUUCUCUCCCUGGGGGCUCCUGGUCACAAUCUUCUAAACUUUCAUGGCCUUCUUGCUCAAGUGGAACAUCUGCCUCAAA